rnacentral:lncRNA from 1 species
UCAGAGGAGGAGCUGGUCACUUAAACCUUUCUAAGCCUGUACUUUAUGUACCUAAGUAUUUGUUGAGCUGUCACAUCCUCCAAAUGUCUCCAGGCAACGCUACCCGCCUGCUGACGGUUCAGGGGAGGUCGUUGGGACUCCUGAAUGUGGAGACGCAACAGUUUGAAGUUAUUCACACGCCUGUGUUUGACCCAGUGAGCGUGACCUUUGACUUCGCCCGUGGCUGGUACUUCUGGGCCGACAGUCACGGCAGCAUUUACAAAAGCGACGGGCGGCGCAGCAGCACCGUUUAUACUGGUUAGUGAGCGUGUGGACGGCACGUCGGACUGUAAUGAUUUUCACAAAACGAGCGGUUGUCUGAACGAAUAAAGGUUUUAAACGAGCCAAAGAAUAUGACACCUGAGCGACCGAUGAUCGAACAGUUUAGCUUAAACCCCAAACCUGAUUUCCAGGUGUGCCUGGAAUCAAGGGUCUGGCUUGGGAUUGGCUAAAUGGAAACCUGUACUGGGCCAAUCAGAAGACGGCGUCAAUCUACAUGCAGGCGCCCGAUGGGAACAGUUACACCACGGUGCUAAGCAAAAACAUCAGCCCCUCUGAUUUGGUGCUUUUACCUGUCGACAGGUUGGUUUAGUCUAUUGAGAUAAGAGAAAACAAUUCACAAUAACUGUCAUUUUUUAUUUAUUUUUUCACUAAUCUUAACUUUAAAUUCUCAUCAGUGUGAUGUUUUGGAUCAACGCCGGUCCAGGAGACAGGGUGACGAUAGCGAAGUCAUGGAUGGACGGUAAAGAAAUGAGCUCUCUGGCCGUGCUCACCGCUCAGUCCGCUCACAGCCUCACCGCCUGCGUGGCCGCGCGGAGGCUGUUCUGGGUCAGCGACUUCAAGAAGGUGAGUCCACGUCUGUUUAAAACUUGAAUUAUAAAGUAAGUGUGUGUGUCACUUAAUUCUUCUCCUGCUGCUCACAGUCUAUAGAGACGCUGAGGAUGGAUGGGACUGGCCAUUACUCCUUCACAGGAAUGUUCAACAGGAUGCCGCCGCUCAGCUUGGCCGUCUUUGAGAACUCCUUGUACUGGGUCGACGACAAAGGGCUGUGGCAGAUCACACAGGACCGACCCAACCAGCGGCAGUUUCUCUGGAAAGACAAAGUGCCGCUGUUGAGCAUUUACAAUGAGCUGCAGCAGCCUCAAGGUCCUUCCGCGUGCUUAAAGACUCCGUGCCAACUCUGCCAGCUGACCAAAGGCAACUCCCUCGGAUUCACCUGCACCUGUCCAAACUCCAAAGUACUGUUGCUCGAUGGGACAUGUCAAUGUGGGUUGAAUUAGGUCUAUAUGGCCAGUGGCAAACGCUUUUUCAAGCUUUGAUGCAUUAGUGUCACCAAACUCUAAGUAUUAACGUUUUGUUCCUCAGACCCAAGAUUUUUAUACGCUGUCAAUUCCCACAUCAACCUGUUGGAGUUCAGGGACAAAGAAUCCACCCAAGCCCUGCUGUUUGACACCAGUGACGGAAUCCUGUCCUUUGACCUGGACUGGUACAGAGACUGGGUAUACUGGGUCAACCAAACUGGGCACAUCCAACGCACCAGUCCAACCCAGAUGACGACUGAAGUGGUUCCAACAGUCCUGCCAGGUUGGUACUUGGCGUUUUCCUUGAUUAUAGAAACUGUAUUUCAUCUUUUUCACUUUGAAUUAGACAUAAUUCCAAUGACAUCUCAUUGACUACCAACAUUUUCUUAUUGUCUUCAAAGUCUGCGUGAUAAAAGUAGACCAGA